rnacentral:rRNA from 1 species
AAACUGAACAGGAUUCCUUUAGUAAUGGCGAAUGAACCAGGAAAAGCUCAUAUUGACAAUCUGUACUUUGUGUCUGGAAUUGUAGUUUAAAGUUGUGUUGCUAAUGAAAGUGUGUGUGCAAGCCAUUUGGGAAAAUGUGGCAACGAAGGUGAAACUCUUGUGUGUCAUAUGCAAGCUUUCAUGCAAGGUAUGCUCCCAAGAAUCGUGUUCCUUGGAAUUGGAGUGCAAAGCAGGUGGUAAAUUUCAUGUGAAGCUAAAUAUAUGUUUGAGACUGAUAGUGUACAAGUACCAUGAGGGAAAUGUGAAAAGGACUUUGAAAAGAAAGUUACAAGUACCUGAAAUUGCUGGAAUGAAAGCAAAUGACAUGAUGCUGUUUAGCAAGAUUGCAGUUUGCAGACAUCAAGCAGGGUGUAUGCUAUGUGCGCUCCUGGGCUUGUGUGGGUAUACAGUGUAUCUUGCUUUGCAUGCCAUGAUGAAGCUGCAUGCCAACACCAGACAUGCAUAAGUGACAUGCAUAUUGUAUGGUGUGAAUAUGUCCUUACAUGGUAUGCAGCUUUGUCUUUGUCGCUGGGUGCUGCGCCCCUGUGUGUUUGGUUUAAGGUUGCCAACCUGGCUCAUUGCAUGAAUGUGAUGUUUCAUUUGACCCGUCUUGAAACACGGACCAAGGAGUCUAAUACAUGUGCAAAUCUGUGAGUCAUCAUUUGGGGUGUAAUGAAAAUGACAAUUGGGAUGUGUGCACUGAUAGCCAACCAAUCAACUGUGAGAGGUUUGUGUUUGAGCAUGUGUAUUAGGACCCGAAAGAUGGUGAACUAUGCUUGAGUAGAAUGAAUUCAGGGGAAACUCUGAAGGAGGCUUGCAGCGGUACUGACGUGCAAAUCGUUCGUCAUACUUGAGUAUAGGGGCGAAAGACUAAUCGAA